rfam:Pseudomonas putida KT2440 complete genome.
CCGAGGUGCGGGUGGUGAGCCCGCACUGAGGUAAAACCCGAACAAGGGCCCACAAAGCCCGCGUUCAUUACCUAUGAAGAUAUGAGACCAGCAGGGGCUUUCCGGGCUGGUACCCGGAAAAUCAGCAGGAUCCAAGUGGCGUGGUUCAGUCGCUGUUUUCGGACUUUUCCAGGUUUGCUGUGGCUCUCGCCGAUCAGUCCCCUAAUCGAGGGUGACCA